AACAGGCUAACAAGCUAGUCAGAGGUGAAAAUGGAUCCACAGCAGUAUUCCCUUUUAUUUUUGGUUUUUGAGGAGCUGCGACUGCUUAGUAAACGUCACCGGCCUUUGUAUUUAAGGCUGAGAAGCAGCCAUAUCCAGAACAGACCCCUGUACUGUAGGAUAAACAUGAGUGUGCCAGUCCUGGACCGUUUUUUUUAACCAGGAAGAUCCCAGGCCAGAUUUUCGUCUGAGCAGGGAGUCUUUUGUGGUGUUGCUAAAUCUCCUGAACCAAGAUCGGCGACAUGGUUGGGGUGCCACAAUCGAGACCCUGGUGUUUCUGUUCUGGUUGGCAAGUGGAACAUCCUACAGGGUGGUCUCAAGAGUAUUUGGGAUGCCUCGCUCAACUGUCCACGACAUCGUCCAUCGAGUCACGGAGGAUGUGGUCGCAAUCCUCCACCAGGUCAUUCACCUCCCCAAAACCCCAGAGGAGAUGGAGGUUGUGUCUCGUGGGUUUGCUGGGCUGGCUCGACACAGAGCUUUCAUGAAAGCAGCAGGUGCGAUCGACGGCUGUCACAUUCGGAUCAAGGCUCCGAGCGGUCCUGAUGGUCAGUGCUACAGAAACAGGAAACUGUUCCCAUCUAUCAUCCUGCAGGCAGUUUGUGACCAUCAGGGCCGCUUUAUCGACACCUAUGUGGGCUGGCCUGGGUCGGUCCACGACUCCAGGGUCCUCCGGCACAGCCCACUGUACAGGCAGUCAGCCUAUCCUCCUCCAGGGCACUUCAUCCUCACGGAUGGAGGGUACCCAUGCCUCCAACAUCCACUCCCCCUCAUCACCCCCUACAAACGGGUGGUUCAAGGUGUGGGAGCCCAGCGCUUCAACAGCCAGGUCACGCUGCAUCAUCGAGCAUGCUUUUGGAAUGAUGAAGACCAGGUUCAGGACCAUCUUCCUGAAAGCGAUGGAGGUCCACCACACCUUUGUACCUCAUGUCAUCAUAGCAUGCACCAUCCUGCACAACAUCUGCCUCAGUGCUGGUGACAUUGUGGUGCAGGACGAUGAACUGGAGGAUGAUGCUCCAGAAGAUGAGGGGGAGGCUGGUUUGGAGGCAGUCAGUGGUGCCCUCUGGCGGGACCAACUUUCUGCUGAGGUGUCUGCUCUGGAGGAAGUACCACCAGAUCACAAUUACUGUUAACAGUGAUGUGACAGCCGUCGAUUGAGCCAGCCCAGCAAACCCUUUUGAUGGACGAUGCAGUGGUCAGUGAGAUGACGCAUCCAGAAGCACCCUCUGCAGACCACUCUGUCUGAUGUUCCACUUGCCAACCAGAAACGUUCAGCCACGGAUCUCGGUUCCUGCACUCCAUCCACCUCGAUGAUCCAUGUUUAGUAGAUUUAGCAACACCACCAAAGACUCCCUGCUUUCCAAGUUUACUGUAUAUAUUUUACUUUUAUCUUUACUUUUAUUCCUUACAGUGUUCCCUUACAAUUUAUUUACUAUG